AUGUAGCCGUAGUCUCCUCCAUCCAACAUUUCCUACGCAUGCAGCUCCAUCUCAGUCGUUGUACCCAUUCAAUGGCGAGCUGGUGGCAGCGAUGUAGGAGAUGAUCCAUGACGAGGUGCACAAGUACAUGUUAGUGGACGACACCUGCCAAAGAUACACAAUUUCUACUGUUUUUCAGUUGGAGAAAACAUUUAAGACAAUAUUUUCUCGUUUGUUCUCCAUAUGGGGCUUGUUCCACGCCACUUGAAGGAAGAAGGGAAUGGUGGUGUUAAGUUCGGACAAUACAUCUACACAUCUUGGAGCAUCGGCAUCAAUGUUUUCAAUCUUCUCAAAUUUCAAAUUAUUCUGGUCUCUUCGUGCAACCAUAAAAGUUUAUUAAGUCACUUAUCUGAGUGGUCUAAAAGUCUAGCAUAUUUUUGUUCCUCUGCCUGUCGAGACGGAUCAACUGACAUGAAUAAUAUCCAGUGAAUACUGCAAGAGCUAUUCAUGAUCUGCCGUGAACUAGCUAGUAUGAUAUAACUCAGUUUGUGGAGUGCUAAUGCACAAACAGGAAAUAGGAUGAUACUUCAUGUAUAUUUUUUUAUUUCAUGAAAAUGAACUAUAGGAUACUGUUCACAAUCCAUACCAAGCUUCUGCAGUUAUCAACAUGUUUUCUA